rnacentral:rRNA from 1 species
GCUAAUCAAACUUGGAGAUAGCUCGUACUCCCCGAAAUGCAUUUAGGUGCAGCCUGUGGAGUUUCUUACGUGAGGUAGAGCGACUGAUUGGAUGCGAGGCUUUCACCGGCUAUCAAGUCCAGACAAACUCCGAAUGCACGUUAAGUAAGAUCCACGGAGUGAGGGCAUGGGUGCUAAGGUCCAUGUCCGAGAGGAGAAGAAUCCAGACCAUCGGCUAAGGUCCCGAAAUAAUAGCUAAGUUGACCAAACGAAGUCAGAGUGCGAAGACAGCUAGGAUGUUGGCUUGGAAGCAGCCAUUCAUUUAAAGAGUGCGUAACAGCUCACUAGUCGAGUGCUUUGGCGUGGAUAAUAAUCGGGCAUAAGCUAUUUACCGAAGCUGUGGGAUGUGUAAACAUCGGUAGGGGAGCAUUCUAGCGGCGCUGAAGGUGAGAGGACAACUCUUGCUGGAGCUUCUAGAAAAGCAAAUGUAGGUAUAAGUAACGAUAAAGGAGGUGAGAAACCUCCUCGCCGAAAGACUAAGGUUUCCUGAUCAACGCUAAUCGGAUCAGGGUUAGUCGGGGCCUAAGGGGCAGCCGAACGGCGCACCCGAUGGAAGAACCGGUUAAUAUUCCGGUACUAAUUAUGUGAGCGAUGUGGAGACGGAGAUGUGACGGUCCUGCCAGCUGACGGAAUAGCUGGUUGAAGGGUGUAGGAGUUGAUCUGAGUAGGCAAAUCCGCUCGGAGAUCCGAACCUGACAGUACUCUGAGUGCUUGCACAAGGAGAUAUGGACAACUGUAACGGUGCUCCCAAGAAAAUCCGCUAAGCAUAUUGCAUGAUUACCCGUACCAUAAACCGACACAGGUGGUUGGGUUGAGUAUACUAAGGCGCUCGAGUGAUUCGCGGUUAAGGAACUAGGCAAAAUAGUCCUGUAACUUCGGAAUAAAGGACGCUCACAGUGAAGGCUGUGAGCCGCAGAGAAUAGGCCCAGGCGACUGUUUAACAAAAACACAUGGCUAUGCUAAAUCGAAAGAUACUGUAUAUAGCCUGACACCUGCCCGGUGCUGGAAGGUUAAGAGGAGAUGUCAUCGCAAGAGAAGCAUUGAAUUGAAGCCCCAGUAAACGGCGGCCGUAACUAUAACGGUCCUAAGGUAGCGAAAUUCCUUGUCGGGUAAGUUCCGACCUGCACGAAUGGUGUAACGAUCUGGGUACUGUCUCAACCGCGAGCUCGGUGAAAUUGUAGUAUCGGUGAAGAUGCCGAUUACCCGCAACGGGACGAAAAGACCCCGUGAACCUUUACUAUAGCUUUGCAUUGGAUUUGGGUAACAAAUGUGUAGGAUAGGCCGGAGACUAUGAAUCGGGUACGCCAGUAUUCGUGGAGUCGCCGUUGAAAUACGGCCCUUUUGUUAUUUGGGUUCUAACUCGCAGGAGCGAGGACAUUGCAUGGUGGGUAGUUUGACUGGGGUGGUCGCCUCCAAAAGUGUAACGGAGGCUUCUAAAGGUUCCCUCAGCACGCUUGGUAACCGUGCGUAGAGUG